rnacentral:tRNA from 1 species
GCGCCCGUAGCUCAACUGGAUAGAGCGUCAGCCUCCGGAGCUGAAGGUUGAUGGUUCGACCCCAUCCGGGCGCA